CAUUUCCAAUUGAUGAUCCGACGGCUCGGUGCUUGACGACGGAAAGGACAUUGUAAGCGAAACCGAGUAAGGUUGAGCGUGGAGGACUUCGUAUCAUACAGUCCCAGCAGCAGCGGUAAUACUAUAGAAAUGCCGAGUGUUAUCCAUACCAGGCAUU
rnacentral:rRNA from 1 species